rnacentral:sRNA from 1 species
UAAUAUUUGUUCAAAGAGCAAAAUAUAUUUUUAUCCUGUAUAACCAGUUGUAAUUACCAAAAGGCGGAAAGUUUCAAAACAAUAUGUGUAUUUAUAAGAUUAAAAAGGUCAGAGGUAAUUUAAAAAAUAAGAAUAGCAAUUAUAAUAAGCAAAUAGGUUAUAGGAAGGUAUUUAUUAAAAUUAUACAUAAAAUAAAUUAUUUAAAGAAGUUUUAUAAGUAAACUUAUUUGGUAUUCCUUUUAUUUUAAGUAUUUUAUAUCCACACAUUUUAGUUUAUUAUAAUAAAUAACUCAUUUAAAAUAUAAUAUCUCUUAUAAAUGUAAUAAAUAGGUUAAAAUUAUAUAUAAGUUAAUUUAUUAGGUUGUAAAACUUACUUUAUAUAAUAAAAGUAAUUUUAAAAUAGUUUUUCAAAAUUUGUUUUAUAAUGUAAAAAUUGAAUUGAAUUAAAUUUUGAUUUCUUUUUAUUCCCGUAAAUUUAACUAGACUUAAAAUAAUUUAACUUAAUCUAGUUUAUAGCUAUAUUUUAAAUAUAACGUGGACGACUGCGAAAAGUUAAUUGGUAAUAGUUAAAUCUUUUAAUUCGAAAAAUCGAAUAUUUUAUUAACGCAAAACAAAAUGCGGUUUUGAAAUAUUUGGUGAAACGGCGAACCUUAGUAUAUUUUAAUUUAAGAGCCUCAUUUGACGACUUCUUAUAAAUUCCUGGAAAUAUAUAGGAAAAAUUGCAAAUAUAAAAUAAAUUGCGGAGUUUGCAUUAAAUAAACAGUUGUUAUUUUUGGAAAUAUUUAUUAAAACUUACAAAAAUAAUAUUAAAACUCAAGGAGUAAUUUAAAUUGAAAAUUUAAAUUUAACGGUUUUGGAAAACUUGCUUUUAUAAUAUUAAAAACAAAUAUAGCGGUAAAGGUUUUUUAUUAAAUAAUUAAUAAUUUGUUAAAUAGUUUUCCAAAUUUAUUUACCGCGUAAAACAAACCUUUUUAUUAUAAAAAAUACGGUGGAAUAUUAGAGAAUCCCCAAAGCCAAAUACCGAUUAUAUAUUUCUCGGUAAAUAAGGGGUUUAACAUAAAAAAUACGGAAAGAAAUUUAAAAACACCAUUUACCAUACAAAUUAAAAUGUGGAUAUAAUUAUAAUUAGAAUAAACUUUGAAAAUAAGAGGCGAAACAAACGUCGCAUUAAAAAAACAAACGUCGAUUUAAACCCUAUUGCGCUAAUUAUAUUAAUUAAAAAACGUAAGGAAAAAGCCAAAAUACAACCGUUUGUUUGCAAUACGGUACCUAAUACUAUAUGGUAUAAAGUUUGGAACAUUUUAACAGUAAGUAACCUUUUUAUAAUUAGUAUUUAGUGCGAUAAAAUAAAACAGGUCGAAAAAAACUUGGAAAAAAGAUUCCGGGGCGGAGAUUUAUUUAGAACCGGAUAUGCGGAAACUAUAUCCUUCUAAAAUAUAAAUAAGGAUUAUAUCUCGUUUAAUAAUAAUUAAUUAUAUAUAUUUUGAAUAUAAUAAUAAGUAAAAACUGUAAUUAUUACUAAAUAAUAACCGAGGAAAUUAUAUUUUAAGUCGGGUUUACUAUUUUGGUAAUUACGCCUAAAUAUAUAAUAAAUAUUA